GGGUGAGUAACACGUGGGCAACCUGCCUCAAAGUGGGGGAUAGCCUUCCGAAAGGAAGAUUAAUACCGCAUAACAUUAGUAUUUCACAUGAAGUACUAAUUAAAGGAGUAAUCCGCUUUGAGAUGGGCCCGCGGCGCAUUAGCUAGUUGGUGAGGUAACGGCUCACCAAGGCCACGAUGCGUAGCCGACCUGAGAGGGUGAUCGGCCACAUUGGAACUGAGACACGGUCCAGACUCCUACGGGAGGCAGCAGUGGGGAAUAUUGCACAAUGGGCGAAAGCCUGAUGCAGCAACGCCGCGUGAGUGAUGAAGGCCUUCGGG
rnacentral:rRNA from 1 species